rnacentral:rRNA from 1 species
AGUGAACGCUGCGGUAGGCCUCACACCUGCAAGUCGAACGGCAGCACAGUAAGAGCUUGCUCUUACGGGUGGCGAGUGGCGGACGGGUGAGGAAUACAUCGGAAUCUACUUUUUCGUGGGGGAUAACGUAGGGAAACUUACGCUAAUACCGCAUACGACCUACGGGUGAAAGCAGGGGAUCUUCGGACCUUGCGCGAUUGAAUGAGCCGAUGUCGGAUUAGCUAGUUGGCGGGGUAAAGGCCCACCAAGGCGACGAUCCGUAGCUGGUCUGAGAGGAUGAUCAGCCACACUGGAACUGAGACACGGUCCAGACUCCUACGGGAGGCAGCAGUGGGGAAUAUUGGACAAUGGGCGCAAGCCUGAUCCAGCCAUACCGCGUGGGUGAAGAAGGCCUUCGGGUUGUAAAGCCCUUUUGUUGGGAAAGAAAAGCAGCAGGUUAAUACCCCGCUGUUCUGACGGUACCCAAAGAAUAAGCACCGGCUAACUUCGUG